AAGCGGAGACUGAUAAUGAUUGGUGACACACGACACACCUGCUCAUCUUCACGCAGGUGUUUUUUAAUCAGCUGAUGACCGCUGAUUGCUUCCUCCUGCUCUUCUUAUUAAAUCUAACUCCUCCCAACAUUUCCGGGAUGUCACUCUGAAGAGAAGCUGCACGAGCCGUGAAACGAAAAAAAAAAAAAGACGCGAAAAAAGUGUCGCUGCUUAGCUACUGAAACUGUUCCGGGAGGAGGGAACUUGUGGCGGUAAUGCACCAACCGCCAUAAAACCUCAAAAAAUGAACGAGGGAACUUUAGAAAAAGAAGAGAAAAAGAAGAGAAAACUCCCGCGGCGUGACGUCAGACGCCGAAAAGGUGACCGCGUGCAUCAGCUCCUCAGCGGCGCUCCAGGGUGGCGUGUUCGACCUGGUCCAGAUUGGUGGCCCGUCCAGAAUGGAACAACCUGCUUCCUGCUCACAGAGACCUGGUCUGACCCGCCAUAUACAAAAGCCUGAGGCUGUCAAAAGAAGAUUGAUCUUCAUGAAGAUCGUCAAAUAGUAAGGUGUGAUGGUUUAAUUCUGGGUGGCCGCCGUGUCCCCACUCUUUCUUGGCCGCUGUGCCUACAUCUCUCUGCAUUGUCCAACAUGGCCACGUUCCUUCUAUUCUCCUGCUUUCCGUCUGUCAGAUAGCUGAGGGUUGUACAUGGAGCAUUUGCCACAGGUUGGUUUUGUAUGUUCCGGUCCACUUUAUUGGGUGGUCUGAUCUGGUCCUUGUUGGUUAUAUUUUUGUGGAACUGCUGAGUGAGUGAUUUGAAAGAGUGAGGUGACUGACGGAGUGUUUGAAAUUCUCUCUCUUAAUGAAUGGGUUGUGUGUGUGACUGAGAUGCCUGGAUUGAAUAGUUAAGAUGGUGUGACAAUAUGAUUAUGUUCAGCAGUUCACAUUAAAGUAGAUCUGGUGUCUUGAAGGGCUUAGAUGCUUGAUAAGUUAUAAUGCACUAACAUUUCCUUUUUAGGUCCAUCUACAAAGGGUGAGUCCAUAUUUAUUUAUUUCUUCUCUGGGGGGGGGCUACCUUCUUGCCCUCCAUGUGUGCCAGGGUUUGCAGAGUAGGGGAAUAAACAAAAGAAAACUUGUUUUGUUGUGUUUUUUUCAAAGUGGCUGCUCACAGCUAACUACUGAGUUUACAUGCAAAGGUAAGAACACGCCUCCACAGAGAGGCGUGUUCUUGCCUUGCCACUGUACUCUUAACCACUUUUUCUUUCCAACUGUUACGCAGGCCGCGGGCCAUCGCUGUUCCGGCCGCCGUGUCGAACUGUCCUGGCCCUCCUCGGGCCUUUCCUCACUUCUAAAGGGAAAAAAAAAUCCACUUGAACUGUUUUCAUUAGCACUAAAAUAUAGUGAUGUUGGAGGACCAGAUCUUAAAUGAGGUUUAAAUAGAUGUUGGAGUACAGUCAAAGCUAGAUGGUAGGAAUAAAGUUAAUGUUGUGCCUUGUACGCUCUGUCACAAGGUUUAGACUUCUUGGCCGCUGUGCCUUUUUUUUUUUUGUCUCUUUUCCAACGUGGCCAUUAAUCUACCGUUAGCCCUAGAACGUUAAAAUAGAUCCUGGUGAUCUACAAACAUAGUACCUGGCUUUAGAUGGCAGCCCUGCCAUAGCCUUUGUAUGGCCAUACGUCCCUUAAUGCAAGUAGGCCAUGAUCGCUAACUGUGCCCGCGCCUUCGUGAGCUACUUGUGUUCUUGUACGUGUGGCCUUGCGCGUAUAGUCAUGUUACAUAGACAAACAUGGGUGCCUUCCGCGUCCAUGCACAGUAAGUGAACUAACCUGUACUUUUCUUCUAGCAUCAGUCAAGAGGAGCACCGACAUCCCUGCAUGUCCAUCUUAAUUAGAUUGCGUUUUAGUUAAGGUAAAAUUUCAAAUCUUAAGUAGUUUUUCUUUCUUGCUUGGCCGCCGUGCCAUUACUAUACCUGCUCUGACCUGAGUCUUCAUUCUUCAUGGCCACUGUGUCAUGACUCUACUUGGUCUUUAUGCCAGUCUAUCAUUUCUGAUC